rnacentral:rRNA from 1 species
GAUGAACGCUGGCGGCGUGCCUAAUACAUGCAAGUCGAGCGAACGGACGAGAAGCUUGCUUCUCUGAUGUUAGCGGCGGACGGGUGAGUAACACGUGGAUAACCUACCUAUAAGACUGGGGUAACUUCGGGAAACCGGAGCUAAUACCGGAUAAUAUUUUGAACCGCAUGGUUCAAAAGUGAAAGACGGUCUUGCUGUCACUUAUAGAUGGAUCCGCGCUGCAUUAGCUAGUUGGUAAGGUAACGGCUUACCAAGGCAACGAUGCAUAGCCGACCUGAGAGGGUGAUCGGCCACACUGGAACUGAGACACGGUCCAGACUCCUACGGGAGGCAGCAGUAGGGAAUCUUCCGCAAUGGGCGAAAGCCUGACGGAGCAACGCCGCGUGAGUGAUGAAGGUCUUCGGAUCGUAAAACUCUGUUAUUAGGGAAGAACAUAUGUGUAAGUAACUGUGCACAUCUUGACGAUACCUAAUCAGAAAGCCACGGCUAACUACGUG